rnacentral:rRNA from 1 species
UAACUGGAGGAGGGUGGGGAUGACGUCAAAUCAUCAUGCCCCUUAUGACCUGGGCAACACACGUGCUACAUGGGAAGUACAACGAGUCGCUAGACCGCGAGGUCAUGCAAAUCUCUUAAAGCUUCUCUCAGUUCGGAUGCAGGCUGCAACUCGCCUGCAUGAAGCCGGAAUCGCCAGUAAUCGCGGAUCAGCACGCCGCGGUGAAUAGUUCCCGGGCCUUGUACACACCGCCCGUCACACCACGAGAGUUUGUAACACCCGAAGUCGGUGAGGUAACUUUUUGGAGCCAGCCGCCUAAGGUGGGAUAGAUGAU